rnacentral:lncRNA from 1 species
GCAUUUGCACAUGUGGCUAAGGAACAACGGUCGAAGCUAGAUGAUAAAGCUAGUCCUUGCAUUUUUGUUGGCUAUGGAGAUGCAGAAUUUGGCUAUAGAUUAUGGGAUCCAGAAAAAAAGAAAAUAUUCAAAAGUAGAGAUGUGAUUUUUCAUUAAAAUCAGAAGUUGACAGAUGUUGAAAAAUCUGGGAAUCAAAGACGUGUUAUUGAAGGUGUCACUGACCUUACACCUGUCUCCUUGCCUUCGGAUAGUGUCACUCAAGGGGUAGAGACACACGUUGACAAUCAUGCUGAUGAGCCAGCAAGGGUUGAUGAGGAUGAUUUAGAGGAUGUUGAGUAGGAGGAGCAGCCUACUACAUCAGACUCUCAGAUUAGAAGAUCUACCAGGGAGCAUCGUCCAUCAACUAGGUAUCCAGUAUCAGAUUAUGUGUUGGUAACUGAUGAGGGGGAGCCAGAAUAUUUUCAGGAGGUAGAAUCUCAUAAGGACAAACAAAGUUGGGUGAAGGCUAUGCAAGAAGAGAUGAAUUCUUUGCAGAAGAAUAACAUUUAUGAGCUAGUAGAGCUUCCUAAAGGUAAAAAGGCAUUGAAAAAUUAAUGAGUGUUGAAGUUGAAGAAAGAUGGUGAAAAGCUAGUGAAGUAUAUUGGUGGUAAAAGGCUUCAGUUAGAAGAAAAGGAUUGACUUUGAUGAGAUAUUCUCUCCUAUUGUCAAAAUGACUUCUAUUCGAGUAGUUUUGGGUUUAAUAGCUAGUUUGGAUCUUGAGCUUGAGUAGUUAGAUGUCAAGACCGCCUUUCUCCAUAGUGAUUUGGAGGAAGAAAUCUACAUAGUUCAGCUAGAGGGAUUUGAAGUAAGAGGAAAAGAACAUAUGGUUUGCAAGUUGAAAAAGAGUUUGUAUGGAUUGAAACAGGCUCAAAGACAGUGGUAUAAGAAGUUUAAUUCAUUUAUGAUGAGUCAUGGUUAUACCAAGACAAAUGCAUAUCACUGUGUUUAUGUCAGAGAAUUUCAUGGUGGUAACUUCAUCAUCUUUUUGUUAUAUAUAAAUGAUAUGUUGAUAGUGGGACAGGAUGUUCAGUUAAUUCGCAGUUUGAAAGUAGAUCUAUUCAAGUCGUUUGACAUGAAGGAUCUUGGACCAACAAGGUAAAUUUUGGGAAUGUAUAUUUGUUAUGAUAAGAAAGCCAGAAAGUUAUGGUCAUCACAGGAGAAAUAUGUAGAGAGAGUUUUGGAAAGUUUAACAUGAA